rnacentral:rRNA from 1 species
GUGCUAAUACCGGAUAACAACAUGAAUCGCAUGAUUCAAGUUUGAAAGGCGGCGCAAGCUGUCACUUUAGGAUGAGCCCGCGGCGCAUUAGCUAGUUGGUGGGGUAAAGGCCUACCAAGGCAAUGAUGCGUAGCCGAGUUGAGAGACUGAUCGGCCACAUUGGGACUGAGACACGGCCCAAACUCCUACGGGAGGCAGCAGUAGGGAAUCUUCCACAAUGGACGCAAGUCUGAUGGAGCAACGCCGCGUGA